AAGAUAACUACCUAAAAGAAACUACUGAGUUUUAGUGCAAAGUUCUGAAAAGAUGAAUCUGCUAGAUUAAAAACAAGCCAUUCAGAAAGGAAGUCCUUUUGUAAGAAUAUUUCAAUCCUUCAUAGAACUUUUGUCUUCUUUCUAAAGCAGGCUUAAAUAUAAGGGGAAGAUCUCUUUGAGAGCAGUCCUGCAGAGAAGGACUUUGACGUGCGGUAAUCAGAC
rnacentral:lncRNA from 1 species